rnacentral:rRNA from 1 species
UACGGAGGCUGCAAGCGUUAUCCGGAAUGAUUGGGCGUAAAGCGUCCGCAGGUGGCUGUGUAAGUCUGCUGUUAAAGAGUGAGGCUCAACCUCAUAAAGGCAGUGGAAACUACAUGGCUAGAGUGCGUUCGGGGCAGAGGGAAUUCCUGGUGUAGCGGUGAAAUGCGUAGAGAUCAGGAAGAACACCCGUGGCGAAAGCGCUCUGCUAGGCCGCAACUGACACUGAGGGACGAAAGCUAGGGGAGCGAAUGGG